rnacentral:lncRNA from 1 species
CUUGGAGGAGCCAACUUCAAAAGCCUCCGCCUGGCCUGCCCCUCUGCAGUCCUCCAGGCAGCCUGUCCAGGGAAGCGGUUGGCUGGUGUUGGACCUGGUGCGGCAGUGCACACCCUGCCCAAGGACCCCAGGAUCAUGUGCGUGGCCUGCUGGCGGGAGUGAGGGAGGGCAAGACCCUGAAAGGCCCAUGGUGAGCAGCUGUGGGCCUCCUCUAGGGAGGGGGCUUACUUGGGUGGAGGGGCUGGGGGUACACACAGCUCAGGAGACACUGCUUGUUCCCCUGAGCCCCACCAGGAAAUCUCCGGUUGGCUCUGGUCACUGCGUCCCUGUGGGUGGCACUGGGUGCAUGUGCCCUGGCUUCUGGCAGUUGGGGGAGGGGGGCUCCUGGGUGCCGGGCAACCCUGUUCUAAGCUGGGCUGAGGCUUGAGCCUGGAAGUGGUACUAACAGGCCAGUUGGGACUCCCAGGGCAGCCAGUCUGCCCCACCUGGGUGGGACACAGCAGGUGCUGGACAUCCUUGCAGCUCCAGCUGGCCUGCUCAGGAGUCAGGCUCUGGUUCUCGCUAUGACCUCUGACCCAGAGCAGGCAGAGGGAAUGACGUGGCAAUUCUGAGCCCACCAAGUUGGCUGUGGCGUGUGUGGUUGGGGGGGUCAGGUUUCAGGAAGGGGCCACAGCAAGCCAUCUGCUCUUCCAGCCAUUGCUGCUUUGUGCUCUGAGCAGGAGCUGCCACCGCCCACCAGGCCCCCAGCUCUAUGCAAGGGUUGGGGUGCUGCUUGUUCAGGCUCCCCUGACAGGGCUAGGAAGCCGAGUCGAGUCCUCUUAUCUUGGUUGGGUUCGCAUGAUUAAUUUCCAGCCCUAGAUCUGCUGUCUGACUCCAUCCUGGGGGCCCAGGGGAAGGGUUGGGGCUGGCCCCUUUUGGGUGGCUGGGAACCUGGGGGCCGUCAGCUGUCUCCUUGAUGUUUGGGCUUUAUCCCUGCGGGCGCAGGCCCUCCAUUUUGGGUCGGGGGAGGCCUGUGGCACAGGCUGCCCGGAGGGAUGGCGUGGGGCGGCUGGUACAGGCAGAGGGGCCUUUUGCGACUGUUGGUUGGGGCUGGAUGUGGUGGCUCCUUCCUCCUCUAUAGCUUCUGGGUGUCCCCCUAGCUUUCCCCUUCCAAUAGGGUGUGGCUUGGAGCUCUGAGCCCCUGCCCCAGUUGGGUUGGGGGUACAAGGAGUCCCCAGUUCCCACGUCUCUGUGAGCUAACCCAGAGGGCGCCAGUAUGGGAGGUGUGGAGUUGAAUGGGCAUGGCCAUGAGUGAGACAGGCUGUACUGGGACAACUUCCUACUGUACCCCCAAGAGCCUGCAGACCAGCCCCACUAGAGCUGUACGGGGCUGGUGGGGGGCCCUGCUCUGUGCGGUCCUGAGGGUGCUCCACCCCUUGCUGGCCCCACUCCCACGUGGACCACAGAGCCAGGCUCUCCUGACUCUGGGCCUGCCCCCUCUAUCUCCUGAUGGGUUCUUCAGGACUCAGUGACAUCGCCUCCCAGCCGACAUCACUCACCCCUUUCACAUCUUUGCAGGGAGCAUAGAACUGUCUGGUUUGCAGACCUAUCUCUUGUGUCUCCUGAUUUAUCCCGCCAGGCCUGUGCCUACAGCCUUUCUUGAUUGGUGACACGUCCAUUUCAUUCGCUCAGAGAUCCCGUGGGGUGGGGCAGGGGGUGGGGCUUCUACGGAAACAAAGUGCAGGUGGGCUGGCUGCUCCCUGUGCUGGGAACACCCCCCAGGCCUAACCCCAACCUGCUGUCUCCUCCAGGUACCCCCUAAGCCUGCACUCUGGGCGCUCCUGCUGGCGCUGCUGGGGACCGCGCCAAGCCGCGCCUAUUCCCCGGCCUGCAGCGUCCCCGACGUGCUCCGCCACUAUCGCGCCAUCAUCUUCGAGGAUCUGCAGGCCGCCGUGAAGUGGGGCGGGGCGGGGGCCGAAAAGACCAGGCCAGGCUCCAGACACUUUCAUUUCAUACAGAAAAACCUGACUAGACCCGGGAGCUCGGGACGGCGGGGACGGCCUCGGGCCUCCUGUGGCGCCCAGAAGCGGAGCCGGCGGCCCAAGAUGCGCCCUGCCCGGCGUCGCGGCGGCCGAAGGCAGCUCCUGCUGCGCGCCCUGGACGCCGUCGCCACCUGCUGGGAGAAGCUCUUCGCGCUGCGCGCCCCGGCCUCCAGGGACUCCUAGCGCGGCCCGUCCUGGCCCUGCGCGGGGAGGAGAACCAGCGGGGCCGCGGCAGAGCCUGGAGACGCGCCUCGUUCUGUAGACUUGUUGGUGACCUCGGCCCCUCGCUCGACGCAGCCCGCGCUCCCCGGAGGGCCCAGGACUUGGAGAAGGGAGCGCGCCUGGCCGCCGCUGGGUCACGGAGGAGGCCCGCCCUCCACGCGCCGAAGGCCUCAAUAAACGGAGCUGGCGCUGCGGGUCCGGCACUCCCUUCGCCUGCCUCUCUGUGGGCCUAGGACCGCCCCGGGAUCUGCGCCUCGGUGGCGGGGGGCGGUGGAGGGGGAAUGCGGAGACCCGCACUUCCUGUGGCACCUGGACGGGGCGGAGCCGCCGCUCCCAGCCUCGGGCAGCAGAGGGCGGACGCGGGACGCUGGGCGCGCUCCGGCUCUGUCAGCGGCUCCCGGCUGGGCGGAGGGCAGAGCGGGGGACUCCUGGGGCCCCUAAAACGUCACGUAUCCGUCCUGCUCCACUUUGGACCGGGGCCGGGGGUGGAAAUUGAGGGGAGGGGAAGGCUGGACUUGGUGAAUUCGGAGCAAAACAACCGGAUAAAGGAAACGGGCCCGAAGGGAAGCGGGAGCUGCGGGCCUUGGCUGUGAGCUUGGCCAGGCUAUUUCCUGCUGCCUCCGGAGGGGUGACCACGGCCUGGGCUCAGAGACUGCCCAGCCCCCUCUGCAGGACUGGCCAGGCUGGGGCCCGCUUUCUGGCCCCUGGAACCCUCCAUUUGCUGGGGGACUGUCCCCUGGUUCCCCCAUCUGAUGCGCAGGUCUGGGAGUCUGUCACCCCCCUCCCCCAAUCUCGGCCCAUGGAGGAGCAGGGGAGGUAAAGUACCUGACACCUGUUACCCUCCCCUUCCCGGAAAGGCCGCGAGCAGGCUGUGCCUCUGGCAUUCUGUGGGAUCAGGGGCAGCAGCAGAAGAAAGAAGUAACCUCCCAAGCUGACCCUGACCCAGCCCCACACUCUGUGUUAAUGUAUUUAGUCUGUGCAACGGGAGCUACUGUCUCUGUUUUAUAGAUGGGGAAACUGAAGCACGAGGAGGCUGAGACUUGCCCCAAAUCACAGCCAGCAAUGUAAGAGCUGGCCUCAGACCCAGGCCCAGGGCAUGGGAUCUGCCACAUGUCCCCUGCCUGGAGGCUGGGGGCCAAGCUUCCUGGACUUCAGAGCCUUGG